GAUGAACGCUGGCGGCGUGCCUAAUACAUGCAAGUAGAACGCUGAAGCUUGGUGCUUGCACCGAGCGGAUGAGUUGCGAACGGGUGAGUAACGCGUAGGUAACCUGCCUCUUAGCGGGGGAUAACUAUUGGAAACGAUAGCUAAUACCGCAUAAAAGUCGACAUCGCAUGAUGUUGACUUGAAAGGUGCAAUUGCAUCACUAAGAGAUGGACCUGCGUUGUAUUAGCUAGUUGGUGAGGUAACGGCUCACCAAGGCGACGAUACAUAGCCGACCUGAGAGGGUGAUCGGCCACACUGGGACUGAGACACGGCCCAGACUCCUACGGGAGGCAGCAGUAGGGAAUCUUCGGCAAUGGGGGCAACCCUGACCGAGCAACGCCGCGUGAGUGAAGAAGGUUUUCGGAUCGUAAAGCUUCUGUUGUAAAGAGAAGAAACGAAGUGUGAAGAAGUGGAAAAGGUC
rnacentral:rRNA from 1 species